UCCUUGUUUCUCCAUUUACUUUUUAAAUUUUCUAGGUUUGUUUUGGUUCCUUCUUCAUGCUUCGUGAAGCUCAGGGUGAAUAAAAUAUUCAGCUGUUCUGGCACCCAAACAUUUCAAACAAUAUCUAUAUGUUCAAAAAGUCUUAUUUUUCAGAGGAACCUCCCUAAAGACAUAGUGGCUGAUGAAGUGCUGUCCUGCACAGCCUUUGGUCACUUAUAAAGAAGCUAAACAGUCCAGGACCCAGUACCAACUCUUGGAGUACACUGCUGCUGAUUGGUACACCGCUGCAUCCAGCUGGGCUUCUUAUGGAUCAACCAGUGAUUAACCUUCAAGCUGAAUAUUUCAGCCAGUUUUCAAUCCACCUCAUGACAACAACUUGUCAGAUUGUCAGGAAGCCUAAAGGAAAGGAUGUGCUUCAGUAAAAUAAAAUUACUAGAGGACCUCCCUUUGCAAAUCAUUUCAAGGUUUCACUUCUGUUUUACCUAAUCUCUUG